GAUGAACGCUGGCGGCAUGCCUAACACAUGCAAGUCGAACGAUGCCUUCGGGCAUAGUGGCGCACGGGUGCGUAACGCGUGGGAAUCUGCCCUUGGGUUCGGAAUAACUCAGAGAAAUUUGAGCUAAUACCGGAUGAUGACGUAAGUCCAAAGAUUUAUCGCCCAAGGAUGAGCCCGCGUAAGAUUAGCUAGUUGGUGGGGUAAAGGCCUACCAAGGCGACGAUCUUUAGCUGGUCUGAGAGGAUGAUCAGCCACACUGGGACUGAGACACGGCCCAGACUCCUACGGAGGCAGCAGUGGGGAAUAUUGGACAAUGGCGAAAGCCUGAUCCAGCAAUGCCGCGUGAGUGA
rnacentral:rRNA from 1 species